rnacentral:tRNA from 2 species
GCCGUUGUAGCUCAGUGGUAGAGUACUUCCUUGGUAAGGAAGGGGUCACGAGUUCAAGUCUCGUCAAUGGCU